GUCUAAGUGGCAUAGUGGCUUUAGCAUUGGACUAUGACUCUGGAGACCAGGGUUUGAAUCCCAGCUUGGCUA